ACCUGAUUGAUUGCGUAGACGACG
rnacentral:rasiRNA from 1 species